GUAGUCCACGCCCUAAACGAUGUACACUAGACUGAAGCGGCUCUGACGUCGUUUUGGUCGUAGAGAAAUUGAUAAGUGUACCGCCUGGGGAGUACGGUCGCAAGGCUAAAACUCAAAGGAAUUGACGGGGGCUCACACAAGCGGUGGAGCAUGUUGCUUAAUUCGAAGCAACGCGAAGAACCUUACCUGGGUUUGACAUGCUUGGAUUAACUUCCUGAAAGGGAAGCCACACUCGCAAGAGUGGAACAAGCACAGGUGCUGCAUGGCUGUCGUCAGCUCGUGCUGUGAAGUGUCGGGUUAAGUCCCUUAACGAGCGCAACCCUUGUCGUUAGUUGCUACCAGGUAAUGCUGAGGACUCUAACGAGACUGCCGGUGUCAAACCGGA
rnacentral:rRNA from 1 species